UUUGCUGACGAGCGGCGGACGGGUGAGUAAUGCUUGGGAACAUGCCUUGAGGUGGGGGACAACAGUUGGAAACGACUGCUAAUACCGCAUAAUGUCUACGGACCAAAGGGGGCUUCGGCUCUCGCCUUUAGAUUGGCCCAAGUGGGAUUAGCUAGUUGGUGAGGUAAUGGCUCACCAAGGCAACGAUCCCUAGCUGGUUUGAGAGGAUGAUCACCCACACUGGGACUGAGACACGGCCCACACUCCUACGGGAGGCAGCAGUGGGGAAUAUUGCACAAUGGGCGCAAGCCUGAUGCACCCAUGCCGCGUGUGUGAAGAAGGCCUUCGGGUUGUAAAGCACUUUCAGUCAAGAAGAAAGGUUAGUAGUUAAUACCUGCUAUCUGUGACGUUACUGACAGAAGAAGCACCGGCUAACUCCGUGCCAGCAGCCGCGGUAAUACAGAGGGUGCGAGCGUUAAUCGGAAUUACUGGGCGUAAAGCGUACGCAGGCGGUUUGUUAAGCGAGAUGUGAAAGCCCCGGGCUCAACCUGGGAACUGCAUUUCAAACUGGCAAACUAGAGUGUGAUAGAGGGUGGUAGAAUUUCAUGUGUAGCGGUGAA
rnacentral:rRNA from 1 species